UCGGUGGCUAUUUCUAGCAAUUG
rnacentral:siRNA from 1 species